rnacentral:misc_RNA from 1 species
GGCCAGGCAUGAAGAAGAUCAUAAGUGCGAGGAUAUGUAGAAAAUGCUUCACACCAAUCAUGAACAGUUCCAAUUAAGCCACGGUCAUAAAUGAUCUUCAAUCUAGAAGACUGGUUGACAGGAGACACAUUCAUCACCCAUACAUCUGUAUCUUUGAGAGCAGCACCAAAACCCCCAAGGUUUGAGUUCAUAUCCAUGACAUUUCUGAAGUAAUUCUUCCUUACGAUAGAUUUCAUCUGCUUCCAGUACUCACUCACUCUAAAUUGCCAUAUCCUAGUGUCUUCAUGGAAUUC